UGAAAAUUAAAGAAUUCACAAACAAAACCUCAACAAUGAAUUGCGUUUUUAUCGGUAUAAUCGAUAUUUCCUAAGCAUCGAUGUUUCUUUGGCCACUAUCGUUAGUUUUGAACGUAUCUACAUUGAAGAAAACGUGUAAGAACAAUUGGGCUUUGUAUCUCAUUUUCAUUUAUUUUAUUAAGUCCUUGAUCACAUGAAAAAAAUUUCAAUAAUUUAAAAAGGAACGGUGGACUUGGAUGUAGGCGUAAAUAGCGCUGGGCAAACAAGUGAAAAUGUAUACACACAUGCUAACAUCGACUGACGAUAUGGAGAAAGAAAUGGAGAUUGAAGUACAGCAUACGACAAAACGCAAAAGGAAAACAUCGCUGGUUUGGAAGGUCUUAAAUAAAUGUAAAGAGAGCAAUAUGUCGAUAUGCAAUCAGAUUGCAUCCGAAAGAAGAUGCGAAUCAAAAUCAAAUUUCUUUGAUAAGCUCUUGUUCUUUAAGAAGAAUCAAACACAUGUCUAAAAAAUAAACUUGUUUAUUGUUGGUUUUA